GGGCCCAUAGCUCAGCGGUCAGAGCUGGCGACUCAUAAUCGCUCGGUCGCAGGUUCGAAUCCUGCUGGGCCCACCA
rnacentral:tRNA from 1 species